UACGUAGGGGGCAAGCGUUGUCCGGAUUUAUUGGGCGUAAAGAGCGUGUAGGCGGCCUUACAGGUCAGCUGUGAAAACUCGAGGCUCAACCUCGAGACGUCGGUUGAAACCGUAUGGCUAGAGUCCGGAAGAGGAGAGUGGAAUUCCCGGUGUAGCGGUGAAAUGCGCAGAUAUCGGGAGGAACACCAGUGGCGAAGGCGGCUUCCUGGCCUGUUCUUGACGCUGAGGCGCGAAAAGCUAGGGGAGCAAACGGG
rnacentral:rRNA from 1 species